CUGCGCUUGUAAUUUUACAUUAGCUAUUGUACCUUGGAGUGGACAUUUAUUAUCCUAACUGGGUUCGUUAACACGCUUGUAGGCAUGGCACCCUUCUCUCCACGGACUCCUGACUCAUCACCCAACACACCUGCUCCAAGCCGCACACCUGCAAUUCAUCCACUAAUCAAGCACUGCAGUUUAUCAACCCUGGUCUUCCUUCUACUCAUCACCAGAUUGUUGUUUCAACUCAUGUGGUAGUUCACAUCCUGGCUCCUAGGCGAUGCAAUCUAGUAUAUUUUUGGCUUGUUCUAACUUUGUUCUCCUUGUGCUCAGGAUUACUGUCUGCCUUGCCCAGCCACACUGCCUGCCUGCCUGUCUGUCUGUCUGCCUCACUCAGCAACAUUGCCUACCUGUCUGUCUGCCUCACUCAGCAACAUUGCAUGCCUGCCUGUCAGCCUUGCUUGGUUUUAGCCGCACAGCCACACGCACCUCCGGACUAGGACCUCGGUGAUUCCUCAUCUCCGUCCUCUGGUUCCCUUCCCUCAACCCCAUCAAGUCUCUGAACUAUACAAUAAACUCCUUACCUCUUAA